rnacentral:rRNA from 1 species
GACGAACGCUGGCGGCGUGCUUAACACAUGCAAGUCGAACGUGAUUUUUGUGGAAAUUCUUUCGGGAAUGGAAAUGAAAUGAAAGUGGCGAACGGGUGAGUAACACGUGAGCAACCUACCUUACACAGGGGGAUAGCCGUUGGAAACGACGAUUAAUACCGCAUGAGACCACAGAAUCGCAUGAUAUAGGGGUCAAAGAUUUAUCGGUGUAAGAAGGGCUCGCGUCUGAUUAGCUAGUUGGAAGGGUAAAGGCCUACCAAGGCGACGAUGAGUAGCCGGUCUGAGAGGAGGAACGGCCACAUUGGAACUGAUACACGGUCCAAACUCCUACGGGAGGCAGCAGUGGGGAAUAUUGCACAAUGGGGGGAACCCUGAUGCAUCGACGCCGCGUGAGCGAAGAAGGUUUUCGAAUCGUAAAUCUCUGUCCGAUGAGAAGAUAAUGUCUGUUGCAUUGGAGGAAGCCCCGGGUAAAUACGUGCCAGCUGCCGCGUUAAUACGGAUGGGUCGAGCGUUGUCCGGAAUUAUUGGCUUAGAGGGGACGUAUGCGGGUUGUUAAUUCUGGUGGGAACUGGUGAUGCUUAACCUCUUUUUGCUUGGUGACUGGAAGACUGGAGCGAAGGAAGGAAGUGUGAAUUCCUAGUGGUGCUGUUAAAUGCGUGAUUUAGAGGAUUGCGGUGGCUGAGGUGAUUGUCUGUCUUGUGCUUGUGCGCAUGCCUGUAGCGUGUGGGUGGUCUGGAAUAUGAUGCCGAUGGUACAGGGGCUAAUGCCUUUGCUUAUCAUGUUGUGUGAUGGCUUGACUGUGAUGUUUAAAAAAUAUGCUGUUUUUUAGUGUAUGUGUGUUGUAUAUAGAUGAAUGUGUGUGUCUCUCCUG